rnacentral:tRNA from 1 species
CAAAAAUGAAAAACCUACUUUUCUCAGGGCA